CCUACGGGUGGCUGCAGUCGAGAAUCAUUCACAAUGGGGGAAACCCUGAUGGUGCGACGCCGCGUGGGGGAAUGAAGGUCUUCGGAUUGUAAACCCCUGUCAUGUGGGAGCAAAUUAAAAAGAUAGUACCACAAGAGGAAGAGACGGCUAACUCUGUGCCAGCAGCCGCGGUAAUACAGAGGCCUCAAGCGUUGUUCGGGAUCACUGGGCGUAAAGCGUGCGUAGGCUGUUUCGUAAGUCGUGUGUGUAAGGCGCGGGCUCAACCCGCGGACGGCACAUGAUACUGGGGGACUAGAGUGAUGGAGGGGGAAGCGGAAUUCGCGGUGUAGCAGUGAAAUGCGUAGAUAUCGAGAGGAACACUCGUGGCGAAGGCGGGUUCCUGGACAUUAACUGACGCUGAGGCACGAAGGCCAGGGGAGCGAAAGGGAUUAGAUACCCCAGUAGUC
rnacentral:rRNA from 1 species